rnacentral:misc_RNA from 1 species
GGAUGGAUCAUUCACAGUUGUGGACACCCUUUGUGGUGCUUCCAUCUGUCCUGUGCAACGUUUAUUGGAAGUGUGUGGUGCACACCAUAUAUGUGUGUGUGUGCCACAUGCACAUUUUUUACACAUUUUUUCAUACGAUUCUAAACAUUUAUACAAAAUUCUUAAAACUGCCAGCAACGGAUCCCUCGGUUCUCGCAUCGAUGAAGAGCGCAGCGAAUUGCGAAAAGUGAUGUGAUUUGCACCAUUCGUGAAUCAUCGAGUUCUUGAACGCACAUUGCACCAUGUGGGCAACUGCAUGGUCUGCCUGUCUGAGUACUGACUAGUUCUAACCUCAGCCUAUGGGCUGGAUGGUGGAUGCGUACCUGCUGCUUUGCACAUCUUGGUGUGUGGAGCAGCAGGGCAUCUGCAACGCAAUAGCACGCGGUGCGUGGCACUGGAUGAAAGCGAACGCUUAUUCAUACAUGCCAUCACACAACAUGUGCAUUAUGGUCAAGUCUUCUAACCAAGACUUUCUCUACAUGCAGUCUCAGAUCAGGCAGGAUUACCCGCUUAACUUAAGCAUAUCAGUCAGCGGAGGAAAAGAAACCAACCGGGAUUCCCCUAGUAACGGCGAGUGAAGCGGGAACAGCUCAGGCUUGAAAUCCCCCUCUCCCAGGUGAGGGCGGGGACGUGUGGUCUGACGAGGCGUGCCCGGCGCGCGCGCAUGCACAAGUCCUCUGGAAAGGGGCACCGCGGAGGGUGACAGUCCCGUAAGCGGCAUGCGGCAGUGCGUCAUGAGGGCCGUCUUCAGCGAGUCGGGUUGCUUGGGAGUGCAGCCCCACGGGGUGGUAGACGCCAUCCAAGGCUAAAUAGCGGCGAGAAACCGAUAGCGCACAAGUACUGUGAAGGAAAGGUGAAAAGCACUCUGGAGAGAGAGUCAAACGAGCACGUGAAAUUGCUGGCAGGGAAGCGCUGGGCGCCAGUGCGCGCUGGCGCAGGAUCACUGCACCCCAUGUGGUCUCCUGGUCAUCCUGCUGGGAUGGCUGAGGAGUGCUGCGUGGUGUGUAGGCAUGCCUGCGUCGGUGGGCCAGCAUCGUUUGUGUGCACCACACAACGGCGCUCGCCGGCUUGCAUUUGUGAGCAGGCGAGGGUGCGGCAUGGUGCAUGCGAGCGAGGCAUGCGGGACGCAAUGGGGAAUCGGGUGCCUCUGGCGUUGAACACAGCGUGUCAAAGCUUGCUUUGGCGCCUGUGGUCAUCACUACGGGCAGUCGGGCUCCGCGCUCCACAGAUGCUGGCAAAAUGGCGUCCAUCGACCCGUCUUGAAACACGGACCAAGGAGUCUAGCACGCGCGCGAGUGUUGGGGUGACAAGCCCCGGCGCGUAACGAAAGUGACAUGUGGCGCCCGAUUCGCAAGAAGCAGGGCCGGCCAGCCUGUAGGCCGUUAGGCGUUAGGCUGCGCACGAGCGCGUGUGCCAGGACCCGAUAGACGGUGAACUAUGCCUGAGCAGGACGAAGCCAGAGGAAACUCUGGUGGAGGUCCGCAGCGGUUCUGACGUGCAAAUCGAUCGUCGGACUUGGGCAUAGGGGCGAAAGACUAAUCGAACCGUCUAGUAGCUGGUUCCCGC